rnacentral:rRNA from 1 species
GACGAACGCUGGCGGUGUGCUUAACACAUGCAAGUCGAACGGUAAGGCCCUUUCGGGGGUACACGAGUGGCGAACGGGUGAGUAACACGUGAGUAACCUGCCCUCAUCUCUGGGAUAACAGUCGGAAACGGUUGCUAAUACUGGAUAUGAGCCUGCUAGGCAUCCUGUGGGUUGGAAAGAUUUUUUGGUUUGGGAUGGACUCGCGGCCUAUCAGCUUGUUGGUGCGGUAGUUGGUCACCAAGGCUUCGACGGGUGGCCGGCCUGAGGGGGGGACCGGCCACAUUGGGACUGAGGUACGGCCCAAGCUCCUGCGGGAGGGAAGAGGGGGGAAUAUUGCCCAAUGGGCGGGAGUCUGGUGGAGCAACGGCGCGGGGGGGAUGAAGGCCUUCGGGUUGUAAAACGCCUUCAGUUGUGACGGAGCUUUUUGUGACGGUAGCAGUAGAAGAAGCACCGGCUAACUACGUG